rnacentral:rRNA from 1 species
CGCUGGCGGCGUGCCUAACACAUGCAAGUCGAACGAGAAAGUGGAGCAAUCCAUGAGUAAAGUGGCGUACGGGUGAGUAACACGUGACUAACCUACCCUUGAGUGGGGGAUAACUUCGGGAAACCGAGGCUAAUACCGCAUAAUACCUUCGGGUCAAAGGAGUAAUUCGCUUAAGGAGGGGGUCGCGGCUGAUUAGCUAGUUGGUAGGGUAAUGGCCUACCAAGGCAAUGAUCAGUAUCCGGCCUGAGAGGGCGCACGGACACACUGGAACUGAAACACGGUCCAGACUCCUACGGGAGGCAGCAGUGGGGAAUUUUGCACAAUGGGGGAAACCCUGAUGCAGCAACGCCGCGUGGAGGAUGAAGUCCCUUGGGACGUAAACUCCUUUCGACCGGGACGAUAAUGACGGUACCGGUGGAAGAAGCCCCGGCUAACUCUGUGCCAGCAGCCGCGGUAAUACAGAGGGGGCAAGCGUUGUUCGGAAUUAUUGGGCGUAAAGGGUGCGUAGGCGGUGCGGUAAGUCUUCUGUGAAAUCUCCGGGCUCAACUCGGAGUCUGCAGGAGAAACUGCCGUGCUUGAGUAUGGGAGAGGUGAGUGGAAUUCCUGGUGUAGCGGUGAAAUGCGUAGA